AUAAAAUUAAAACAAAAUGAUUGGGCUGAUUGAUACUGUGGUACAGGAGGAAAAAGAGACAGUAGCACAAUAUGCUGCCAGGCUCACGGAAGCAUUUAAUGGACACAGUGGGCUGGAGCCGCGAAUCGGAGGUGGGGUUAAUCCACGCUACGAGUCACAGUUAACAUCCCGCCUUCUGAAGGGUUUAAAACCACAGAUUGCAAAUUGGAUAAAAAAAACAUCUGGUCGGAUGGGAAGGAGAGCAGAGAAGGGUUAUUCUCGCACAUGCUAAACACGCUGAAAAAGUUCUGGAAAAUAGAGACAAGAAACAUAAAAAAGUAGAGGUGUUUUAUAAUGACGGUGAGAAUGAUGAUGGUUGCUUUUUCUCUUCUGAUCCCCGCAGGAAGGAAAUUAUUUGCUAUCGCUGUGGGAAAAGAGGCCACAUCGCCAGAGAAUGCAGAAGUCUCAUGCCAGUUGCGGACACCGGGCGGGGCGGAGGUCAAGGCGGUGGACGGGGCAGGAGAGGACGCAGGGGCCGUGGAGGCGGUCGGAGAGAGAAAAGAGAACAUGAUGACAGAGAGAAGGAUGAGGAGCAGGACUUCUGACUAGCUUCCCCUGCAGAAUCAGGAGAGAAAAUGUCUUCCCGCGCGCAGGAGAGGAGCUCUGUCGUCCAGCUGGUGAGCUCGGUGCUGCCGCUGCUGCUGCUCUCGCUCUCUGGUUGUUCAAGCAUGGAUGUUGUUGUGGCCAGUAACAUAAAUGCACUGAAUGGAACAACUGUGAAAAUCACCUGUACAUUCACCUCCUGCUAUAAGAUGGAUAUCAACAAGUUUGCCAUGAACUGGACCUACCAAGAAUCACGCAACGAUACAGAGGAGAUGUUCAUGACGUACUAUAAGAAAAAAGGAAUGGUACCUCUGCGUUCAGAUCGGUUUGGAGAGAGGGUGACGUUUGCCGGGAACCUGGAUAAGAACGACCUGUCAAUCACCCUAUCAGAUGUUCAGCUGGAGGAUGAGGGGAUUUACAACUGCUAUGUGAGAAACCCCCCAGACCGCAUCCAGGGACGCGGUAUCAUAGAGCUCCAUGUUGUUACUGAACUUCCCCCUCCGAGGGACUCAACCAUUGCAGUUGCGAUUGGGGCGUCCGUGGGCGGAGCAUUAGCUCUGUUGAUUCUUUCCAUGGUGAUAGUGAAAUGUCUUCGUCGACACCGGAAACAGGAACUAAUUUCGGAGGAAAAGAUGGAGGAGGAGGGAAAACUGGAGGCUGAAGGUGUCGCAGAGGAGGGAACCAAACAGCCAUAGCUGGGUCAUCAGAUUGAACCAGUGGCCUGUGGAGCUCUCAACCCCAACACCUCCUCUGACGUAUGAACCCCCUACCUGAAGAUCUAUAGUAACCACUGCUUGAACCAUCGUCCACUGAUUCUAUCCAUCCCCUUCUGCAUGUGUAUGUGUGUGUGUCAGUGGACACAGGUGUGCUUUUAUGUAUGUAUGUGUGUGUACUGAAUGUGUCUAUGUGUGCCUGUGUGUUUAUAUAUGUCUGUGUGAGACGUGUUUUUUCUCCUUGAAAUAAGCCAGGGAACAUUUCUGCAACUUAACCACCAAACGCAUAUUACGUUAUUCAUAGCUACAAAUAAAUAUUAAUAGCAUUAGAAGUCUUUCUCAUUAUAAGCAACAGCAUUUCCAUAGCACACUAUAUGACACACUAGGGCUGGGCGGUAUGACCUAAAAUUUUUACUACAAUAUAUUUUGAAUAUGGAAUGGUUUCAGUGCUUCAGCAUCAGAGUAUCUAAUGGAUGCUCUCAUAUUUUCAAUUGAAUGUGAUUUUAAAUGCAAUACAAAAGCUAUUUAUUGCCUGAAGUUAAAGCUAUUAUCAGUUAACUAUUAUGAUUCACAGUGGUUGUGGAGGCAGUUUUAUACAUGAUGGUGUUAAAAAAGUUCAUCAUGCUGUGCUGUGUGAUGGGAAUCAACAGCUUCAGUCCAACUUUAGGAUUUUGUUUUGGGUGAAAUGUUUUGGUUUAACAUAAAGAACAUUGCCUUAAAUCAUGUCUCUCAACUGCCUGUAUAGGCACCAUGUCUUUACAAUGACACACAGCUGGCUUUUCUUAACCUGACGCGCCAGAUGGUUUUUAUACAGAACCAUCUGAGAUGUCGUCCUUGGAAACUUGUUUGGAAAAGGGCAGGCACUUUCAAUAAAUACUUGGCAGGUGAUUGGAUGAAGCAUCUGUCGAUCACUGUCUAUCAUCGUCUUACCUUGCAAGGCAGCUGGCUUUGUGAGAUCACAAGAUCGAAUCCUCAUAGGACACUGAUUGGUCCAAACCACUGGUGGUUCCAACACAAUUGCAUAACUUUAAGCCUGACCAGAUGGAUGCUCACGUGAUCUUGUGAUCUCAUGAGUCCAGCUGCCUCGCAAGGUAAGGCUUUUCUAAUUGAAAAGAUAGCAAUUACUCAUUGACUUAACCAAACGAUGUUUGCAUUUCUCAAUGACGUCUACUUGUGUCUUAGGAUACUCAAACAUUCCUCAUACCUGUGGAGGUAUUUGCCAAAACUGUUGCCCUACAUAGUCCAUGUGCCCUGCAGGAAUUUAAACUCUAUUCUGCUCAAUGUCCAGGUGAAGGAACUUGUUUCCCAUCAAUCUCUUUAUUUAUUGGUUCUGCCACUGUUUUCUUGCUGUCUCCAUAUUUUUGUCCACUUUUUGUCUUUGCAUGCAAAAGUGUUUUUAGUUUUAAAGGGAAGUGGUACACUGAUGUUUUUAUUGGCCUGUCAGUGACAUUACCAAAGUUAAUAGCGGCACUGGUUACCAUGCAGUGAGUUGUGCUGAUGCUUUCAGAGCACUUGGGUGUGAUUUUACAGCAAAAUUUUAUUCUAUACUAAAUUUGACAUUCAUACAUUUGUACUGUAUGCCGUUGCUGGUUAUACCGUCCAUCCCUAUGACACUGCUAGAGAAAUGGCAUGUUAGUGUGCCUGAAUACAGAGGCACAGAUUUCAUUUGACAAAGUCAUAAUGUGUCUUGGUAUUAGAUCAUAUGACAUUUACAAUAUUUGUGACUGCAUUACAAUGUAAAAUUAUUUACAUAUGUAAACACGUCUGUGAAUGUGUUGAGCUUUCUUCUCAGAAACCUUCCCCACAAUACAAAUAAAGCUAGCACUGGUUGUGUUGUUGGUAAGAGAAAUAAAACUUUUUGCUGAAAUAGUGUUGGCUAUAUGACAACAUUUCCAUCAAAGAUGAAAACAAAUCAAAGACAACUCAAAGUGAAAAACCUACAUUGCACCCACAAUCACGUGAUUUCUGUAGCUGCCAACCUUUAUGAAUAUUCAUAGAAAUGAAUAAAAGAAAAACUACAAGACACAGUUAUAGAGUCACACUUAAAGACAGUAAUAUAGGAGAUAAUACCAAAUGAUCCAAAUUACAAUAUGAGAUGUUUAUAUCCAUGACUGACAAAGAAGAGCUUCCUGACAAACUUAUGGUGUGGUUAGGGUUUAACUACAAAUUGUAGUUCUCCACCAGAACGGGUAGAAUUUGUUAUUUUGGAAAUUGAAGCAUGUACAGUGUACUAUACUGCCCUGAAUGCAUGUUAAACAGUGCAUAUCAAAAAGUUAAAUGUAAUAAAAUAAAGUAAGAAACUUAAUUCUAUUCUGUUAAGAACGAAAACCACAACGAUGUGAGUCAGUCAGAGCAUGUUUAAGCUUUCACUCUAUGUAGCAACUGGCACCAUUUAUCAAAUAUUAUGCUACCUGUAUUUCAUUUUGAUUUGUUUGAAUACAUGGAUAUAUAUUUUGCUUGCAUAUUUGAGUGUUAGAGGUAUUUGGUUGUACUUGACUUUCAGCUUUCACCUGUAAAAUCUCAAAAAACAACUUUAACAACUUUAAAUAUUUCAUCAUUUCAUUAAAAAAAAAAGCUUCCAUAAAAACUCUUAUAAUCUAUAUCUUUUUAUUCUAAUUCCAACUGGAACCCUGUUUUAUAGAGAUUUUAAAAAGACCUGGAGCCAUUGCACCUCAAUACAAACAAUUUUAGUGUGUACUUUAAAGCAGAUAAAUAUAUCAAAAGGUUUAAAGAUUUUAAAUGUAAAUCCUAUCUCUGUCUCCAAAGUAAUGCCUUUACCUUAACAGUGGUGUUUAAAACUGUAAGAUAUUGUUUUGCACAUUAACACACUGACACACCUAUUCUAAUAUAAUCAUAUCGGAGAGCAUGUGCAUAUAAUGGGAAUGAGAAAAGCAUAUAAAGUUCACGAGUUAUCAAGAUGGUAUAUUGGAAUGUGUGGCUGUUGUAAUAGAUGGCAUGGUGAAAAUGGAAAAAGCAUCAAAUGUGCAUCUAUUUGGUUUGAGCACCUUGAAUGUUAAAAAUUCUCUUAAUUAGUAACUCGAUCACUAUUAAUUGCCCAUUUUACAUGUAACAGCAUGUGAGCUUUGUUAACCUCUGAAUGUCCAAUUAUGAUUUAACUAUGUUGUGAUGACAAGCCAGCUGUGUCACAAAGUGAUGUCUCUAAGAUGCCUGUAAUGACUCAAGCUGGUUAGCUGUGUCAUCUAGCAACUACAUUGUGGUUAGUUUUGCCAGAUCUUGUGGCUAGACUAGAUCUGACGUAAAGAAAAAUGUGUACAGGUCUGUGUUAUUUAUUUAUUUAUUUAUAUUAUUUUUAAUAUAAUUUGGGUCUUAAUCACAUUUUUUAUAGAUUUUAUCAUUUCUGAUUUUUAUAAUUUGUUUUCCAACAUUUUAGGUGAUGUAUUGUGUGAUUUCCUGAAAUAUUAAAAGCACAUCUUUUGCAUCACAAUAAUAUAAUAAUUACAAUUGUGUGUUGUUCUGUGGUGAAUAAAGCUAAAAUGGUCAUAUAACACAGUCAUUUAACAACAAUGUCAUAAACAUGAA